ACCUCCCUUUAAGCGGGGAAUAGCCCAGGGAAACUUGGAUUAAUACCCCAUAAUAUAUUGAAGAGGCAUCUUUUUAAUAUUAAAGCUCCGGCACUUAGAGAUGGGCGUACGGCUGAUUAGGUAGUUGGCGGGGUAACGGCCCACCAAGCCUUCGAUCAGUAGCUGAUGUGAGAGCAUGAUCAGCCACACGGGCACUGAGACACGGGCCCGACUCCUACGGGAGGCAGCAGUAAGGAAUAUUGGUCAAUGGACGCAAGUCUGAACCAGCCAUGCCGCGUGGAGGAUGAAGGUCCUCUGGAUUGUAAACUUCUUUUAUCUGGGACGAAACACUUCUUUUCUAAGAGGCCUGACGGUACCAGAUGAAUAAGCACCGGCUAACUCCGUGCCAGCAGCCGCGGUAAUACGGAGGGUGCAAGCGUCAUCCGGAUUCACUGGGUUUAAAGGGUGCGUAGGUGGGUAUGUAAGUCAGAGGUGAAAUCCCCGAGCUUAACUUGGGAACUGCCUUUGAUACUAUAUAUCUUGAAUGCCGUAAAGGUAAGCGGAAUAUGUCAUGUAGCGGUGAAAUGCUUAGAUAUGACAUGGAACACCAAUUGCGAAGGCAGCUUACUAUGCGGUUAUUGACACUGAGGCACGAAAGCGUGGGUAGCAAACAGGAUUAGAUACCCUGGUAGUCCACGCCCUAAACUAUGGAUACUCGACA
rnacentral:rRNA from 1 species